UACGGAGGGUGCAAACGUUGCUCGGAAUCAUUGGGCGUAAAGCGCACGUAGGCGGCCUGAUAAGUCGGGUGUGAAAGCCCUGGGCUCAACCCAGGAAGUGCACUCGAAACUGCCAGGCUUGAAUAUGGAAGAGGGUCGCGGAAUUCCCGGUGUAGAGGUGAAAUUCGUAGAUAUCGGGAGGAACACCAGUGGCGAAGGCGGCGACCUGGGCCAAUAUUGACGCUGAGGUGCGAAAGCGUGGGGAGCAAACAG
rnacentral:rRNA from 1 species